rnacentral:lncRNA from 1 species
AUGUCCUCAACCCGGGGUCCCAAACCGUGCGUUGCCCCUAAACCCAAAAAAAUCAUCCACAACGGGGCACCACUACUUAGCGAAGAAGGAUGCCCCAAUGGCAGCUCGAAGUACAACUUCAUCGACAAAGAACAUUUUCCUGUAUCGCAAAAUGUUGUGCAGAUUGUCUUGAAGAACGGCGUGGAAAGCGACAACAAAAGUGACCGAGAUUGGAGGUUGAGCGAUUUGACAGAGAAGACCGACUCUUUGGAGACUUUGGAUAUUGUUGAAGAAGUUGAAUCCAAUGAGGAUGUUAUGGACACUGAGGUGUGCGACGGCGGCGAGGCAAUGGCAGACACAGAUGGCAUAUCAAUGGGCGACAUAUCAGAGAAUAGCAUUGACCCAGAGAACAAUACGGAAAAUUUGGAAAGGCACGGCAAUCAUGACGACAUGACGCAAGCUGAAUUUGAGACAGAGGACUGCAAUAAAAUAAAGGCUGUUUUAAGAAAAGAGUUGAGCCUAAUGAACAAUAACGCAUCACCGAAACUUGUAUCCGUCAAAUACCAACAACAUGCAUAUGGUCAAAAAGCUCAAAAGCUAUGCCAUGAUGAAUUGGUGGAUGCUGAUUUGACUGACCUUGAAGUUAACAAUUUGAAUGUUGAUUACAAUGAAUUAACACAGGUCAUAGGAAAAGAUUAUGACUUGAAGAAUAACAAUGGAUCGCCAGAGCUAGCAUCUAUUAACAUUGAUAGAGUUGGAUCAUUGAAGUGUCAGAAAAAUGCAUAUGAGAAAAUGGUGGUUAUGCAAUAUAAGGUCAAGGAACAAGCGAUUAAACUUGAACUUGAGGAUCCGUGUAGUAUUCGCAACCAACAAGAUGACGCUAGAGGCAAAGAUUUAAACCUAAAGAAUAACAAUGCAUUGUCAAAGCUUGUAUCUGUUGAUAGAGUUGGAUCGUUUCAAUUUCACCAAAACGCGUACAGGAAUGCAACGGGAGGAGCUGUGGGGGAUUCAGACUAUGUUUUGACUGAGGAGUUUGUCAAGAUUGGUAGCAAAGAUAAAACCAGCGAUUCAAACAAGAUAAGUACAUGCCACGACAGGAAUUUUGGGAUAGAUAAGGAAUUCAAAGCUCCUGUAGCGGAGGGGUGUUCAAGUCCAGAUUGCCAGCCGAGAUUUAGGCUUGUGUCCAUAUCAAAAGGAAAGGAUACACAAUUAUCAUCUUCAUUGUCUGAACUGCUCUUUCCAAGUGACCUAUUCGAGAAAUUGGACUCCCCAAUAGCACCAUUCGAUUUGGAUUUCGCCGAGGACCAUGUUUAUGAUACACCCGGACGCAAGACAUCAAUAGGCGCAAGAACAGGAUCAAUGACGCAACGAAACAAUGAAAUAGGAACUACAAAAGUGGCAUUGUUGGACACAGUGGUAGCCCGAUGUUAG